UUCUCCGAUAUAUAAGGGGAAGGGCUUCAACAUUAAAAUUAUUAUCGGCUUGUGCCGAGGGACAAUCCGCGCCGACGGUAACGUUUCGGCCCGUAAUAAGGAGACGGCCAUGUUAUAUAUGUUGGCCUUACCAUCUUUUUUUCGGUUGGCAAAAGGUCGAAACGCUAUCCUUAUUACAUUUAGCCAGGUUAGUUAAAUGGGGCGGCGCCUCUUCCGAAAUAUCUGGUAAAAGUUUUCUGGUGUGCAUUUUAUAUUUAAUCCACUAAAAACCUCCACCAGCUAUUUGACGAAUUGGACAACGGCGCAAAAAUAUAAACCUGGACCAGCGAUACAACCGCAUAAUUCAUUUCUAAUUUGCUGCAGGGAAAUCUUUAGGCGUAUUACGUAUUCGCCAGUUCUUUGGAGCAGAAAUUCGACGGACUUUCAUAUAAAGGCAUCCAAUAGUGUUGCGGUAUAACAAAGGCGCAUAUACCCCUUAUUCGGUACCAAUAGGAAUCGAUUCCUGUGUAAUGCUCGGAAUAUCUGUGCCUCAUCCAAGCGGACCAUGCAUCGACCUAAAGCCUGGCCGCACCUGCAAUAUGUUGGUGCUAUUACUUAGCGUUCAUUGGUGCUUGUGAAAAAUAAAAUUUUCUAUUUGUGAGAGUAGGUUUAAAUUUUAAUCCCUAUAUGUUCUGAGUAAAUUGGGUAUAUGUUCUGAGUAAAUUGGGUGGUUAUAUGUACAAAACCAGACCACAAAGAAGAGAAUAUCGAGACAAAGCCACCCUCUACCGUAAUAAUUGUAUCCUCUUUCGUUUUUCCCUGCUGGUGCUAAGUCGCUAUUUUUUUUCAAAAGUAUAAUAUUACUGGAAACGAUCGGUUUAGGUGAUCAAACAAUAAUACUGGUGAGGGUGGCGUGAUGCCGCAUGAUCGUUUGCAGAUUUGCACAUCCAAUGUGCUUCAAAAGUAUGGCAAUUAACAAUUUAGCACCGAGAAGCUGCUAAAUUGUAACUGUGGUGCCUUUGACAAAGUCCCUCUUCAAUUUCAGUCUGGCUUUUGUUUAGCAUUUUGGAAAGGCUGAAACUAGCUGCCUUAACUCUGGUACAAGGCAGCCACACAACCAUUACGGGCUACGUGGUUAAAUUGUCAAUUACCCACCAGCGCCAAGGUUACCGGAUGCGUGCUCGUCACCCGGUAAUGCAACCCAACGCGAAAUAGCCAUGUGCCCAGACGGGUGUAUCCAAAAGGAGGUCCAUGGCACUCCUUUGCAAAUUGGUCAUAUCUGGAAACGAGCCACGCUGGCGAUGCCAAAUGCAAUUACUACACCUGUUAAUUAUAUUAAUAUAGCUUUAAACGCCCGAACCAUUCCCAAAUAGUGUUAAAUUCAGAUUACCGUUUUUUUAAACGCCAAAUUCUGCCUGUCUUUCAAACUCAGAUGGAUGUGCGAUGUGGGUGGUUUUUGUCCAUUUUGGGGCAAAAUUGUAAAUGGGAGAGUUUAUAUAGAUUGAAAGGCAGUAAUUAACUAAAUGCCUGGGAGUUCAAAUACUUUUUGUCAUUUCCAAUCCGCAACGCAUCCAUAAAUUUCCCAAUUCUGAAAUAUUAUUCCAAAAACCAGGCAACCAAAAAAUGCCAUAUCAUAAGUCAACCUUUCCAAAAACUGCGCCCAAACUGUUGGGAAUAAUAACGCAAAGCAGAUAUUUUAUUUUUGGCUCGCACUUUUUACGUGCAAGAAACCAGAAAUUGCAACGUAAUCUCGGGGAGGCCGAGGACAAAUAUUCCGGAACACGUCCGGCCUUUCCCUGGGAUCUCUUUGGGACCAAUUAGCCGCGAAAAUCAAAACCGGGUUUUAAAGCCGUUCAGGCCAGAUUAGAUCGUUGGUGGUUACCUUUGUUUGUUAUGGUUCGCCAACGCGGUUGUGCAAAGGUUAAAUUCCUAUAAAAAAUAUUACGGCGCUGGGGUAUAAAUCGCGUUAAAAUUUGUCAAAAUUUUACAGCGCAAUAUUAAAGCAGUUUUUUUCGCCCAUUUAUUUAAUGCAAAAAUGUACCAAGAAAAAAUACCCCUAAAAUAUUAUAUAACCUCCUUUUGUCAACCUACACCGCAUUCGCAAAGCAAGGAGGGCGAAAAAUCUUGCCAAAUGCAAAUCGAAAAGAAUAUAUCCAAAUUAAGUGCCGGGAUGCUCCUUGGGGGUAAAGGCCAAUAAAAACGAGCCCGUUAAAAAACUCCCGCAGAAAAAUUAGCAUUAAAUUCACCCCUAAUUUUUCAACCAUAUUAAUAAUAAUAUCGAUAAUCCGUAAAGAUAUUAAAACAAGGAUUCCAAAUAAAUUAUAUCGUAUUAUAACUUCGCACCGGUUAAUUAAUAUACCUUUUUUUUUAAUCGUGGCCGACCAAUCGCUUCCACAAAAAUUAAAUAGGCCUAUUACAAAGCCGGUUGCAAUUUUAAAUGGCGUGCGCCCGACUUUUAUACGUAAUAACCGAACGUAAUAAAUACUGUCGCUGCUAAUUGGAAUUGGAUAAGGUAUAUCUUAACGGAAAACCGGAUGGUAUUUCGUAUAUAUAAGGAAGUAAAUAUUACUGUUUAUUACCCUGGUGGAUUAAUUAGCCUACCUGUCGUUAAAAGCCGGUAUGAAAAACUUGGAAGUAUAGCAGCCUUUUGGCCCGGCCAGAUUUGGAAGUGGACAAAUUAGUUUAACCUUUUAUCGUUAGUUUUUUAUUUGAAAUGUAGUAAAAAAAUUGCAAUAAAAUAUUUGGUGAUAAAUGCAAGUUAGCCCUCCAAAAGAGGUUGUUUGUAUUAUUUUCAGGUAUAUUAUUUAAUUGCAAACCUAGUUCGACAUUUAAUUGUUAUAAUUCGUUUUUUUAAAACCAGCGGCUUUUUCCAUUUAUUUUUAUAUAAAUUACACCAGGAUUUAUUUGCAAUUUCCCAAAAACUAGGUAAGGGAAAGCCCAAAACGCCUUAUAUUUGUUGGGUAACGUUAAACCGCCCGCUAAUUAUAAUAAAUAAGUUAAAGUUAAUUUACGGCAUGGAUUAUUUUAUCGGCUCGGUUUGCCCGAAAAUUGUAUAUAUUUGAGCCGCAAUUUAUUGGUUCGCUCGUAUAAUCCGCAAAAAAAAGGCAACUAACUAGCUUUUGGAAACCAAAGGUAAGGUUAUACGGUAUAUAAUUAAUAUAUAAAACCCAAUUAUUAUUAUCGUUUGUUUGCGUCUUUAAUUUCAGUAACGCAGACCGUAAAUUACUUUUUGUUUGACUUUUUUCCCCCAGAAUAUUGGGAUAAGGAAAUAUACCGAACAAUUAAAUUAAUUAAUACCCGUAACCGGCUAAUAUUAGACGGACAUCCAAUUAAUAUCUUCCUUAAUAUAUUGGAUCCCCUAGGCGGGGAAUUGGAACAUUAAAAUUAAGAGAUUCGUUUACCCCAAACGCGGACCAUAACGCUGGCCUAAAUAAACGGAAAAUUAA
rnacentral:sRNA from 1 species